rnacentral:rRNA from 1 species
GGAGGAGAGACAACAGGGAUUGCCCCAGUAACGGCGAGUGAAGCGGCAACAGCUCAAAUUUGAAAUCCGGCGCCCCCCGCGGCGCCCGAGUUGUAAUUUGCAGAGGAUGCUUCUGGCGCGGCGCCUUCCGAGUUCCCUGGAACGGGACGCCACAGAGGGUGAGAGCCCCGUCCGGUCGGACGCCCAGCCUCUGUGAAGCUCCUUCGACGAGUCGAGUAGUUUGGGAAUGCUGCUCUAAACGGGAGGUAUAUGUCUUCUAAAGCUAAAUACCGGCCAGAGACCGAUAGCGCACAAGUAGAGUGAUCGAAAGAUGAAAAGCACUUUGAAAAGAGGGUUAAACAGUACGUGAAAUUGUUGAAAGGGAAGCGCUCGUGCCAGAACUCGGGCGCGGCGAAUCACCCGGCGUUCUCGCCGGUGCACUUCGCCGCGCCCGGGCCAGCAUCAGUUCGCGGCGGGGGAUAAAGGCGCCGGGAACGUGGCUCCCCCGGGAGUGUUAUAGCCCGGCGCGCCAUGCCCCGCGGCGGACUGAGGUUCGCGCGUCCGCAAGGAUGCUGGCGUAAUGGUCACCAGUGACCCGUCUUGAAACACGGACCAAGGAGUCGUCCUCGUAUGCGAGUGUUCGGGCGUCAAACCCCUACGCGCAAUGAAAGUGAACGCAGGUGAGAGCCCUCGCGGGCGCAUCAUCGACCGAUCCUGAUGUCCUCGGAUGGAUUUGAGUAAGAGCAUACGGGGCCGGACCCGAAAGAAGGUGAACUAUGCCUGUGUAGGGUGAAGCCAGAGGAAACUCUGGUGGAGGCUCGCAGCGGUUCUGACGUGCAAAUCGAUCGUCAAACAUGGGCAUGGGGGCGAAAGACUAAUCGAACCUUCUAGUAGCUGGUUUCCGCCGAGUUUCCCCCGAAG